rnacentral:rRNA from 1 species
GGGUUAGUAGGUUGGUCAUGCCUCUGGUAUGUACUGGUCUCACUGAUUCCUCCUUCCUGAUGAGCCGUAAUGCCAUUAAUUUGGUGUUGCGGGGAAUUUGGACUGUUACUGUGGAAAAAUUAGAGUGUUUAAAGCAGGCAUAUGCUUGAAUACAUUAGCAUGGAAUAAUAGAAUAGGACGUUCGAUCCUAUUUUGUUGGUUUCUAGGAUUGACGUA